UGGCAGAGGUUACUGCUAUCGAGGUUCGACUAAGCCAUGCGAGUCGAAUGUAGCAAUACAUGGCGAACUGCUCAGUAACACGUGGACAACCUGCCCUUAGGUUGGGUAUAAACCCGGGAAACUGGGUAUAAUACCCGAUAGGUCUCGAUUGCUGGAAUGCAUCGAGAUUUAAAGCUCCGGCGCCUAAGGAUGGGUCUGCGGCCUAUCAGGUAGUAGUGGGUGUAGCGUACCUACUAGCCUACGACGGGUACGGGUUGUGAGAGCAAGAGCCCGGAGAUGGAUUCUGAGACACGAAUCCAGGCCCUACGGGGUGCAGCAGGCGCGAAAACUUUACAAUGCUGGCAACAGCGAUAAGGGAACCUCGAGUGCCAGGUUACAAAUCUGGCUGUCGAGAUGCCUAAAAAGCAUUUCAUAGCAAGGGCCGGGCAAGACCGGUGCCAGCCGCCGCGGUAACACCGGCGGCUCGAGUGGUAACCGUUAUUAUUAGGUCUAAAGGGUCUGUAGCCGGCCGGAUAAGUCUCUUGAGAAAUCUGGCAGCUUAACUGUCAGGCUUUCAGGAGAUACUGUCUGGCUCGAGGCCGGGAGAGGUGAGAGGUACUUCAGGGGUAGGGGUGAAAUCUUGUAAUCCUUGAAGGACCACCAGUGGCGAAGGCGUCUCACCAGAACGGACCUGACGGCAAGGGACGAAAGCUAGGGGCACGAACCGGAUUAGAUACCCGGGUAGUCCUAGCCGUAAACGAUACUCGCUAGGUGUCGGCCACGGUGCGACCGUUGUCGGUGCCGUAGGGAAGCCGUGAAGCGAGCCACCUGGGAAGUACGGCCGCAAGGCUGAAACUUAA
rnacentral:rRNA from 1 species